AUACGUAGGUGGCGAGCGUUAUCCGGAAUUAUUGGGUGUAAAGGGUGUGUAGGCGGGACUUUAAGUCAGACGUGAAAAUUAAAGGCUCAAACAUUGACCUGCGUUUGAAAAUGAGGUUCUUGAGAGUGGGAGAGGUAAACGGAAUUUCUGGUGGAGCGGUGAAAUGCGUAGAUAUCAGGAGGAACACCGGUGGCGAAGGCGGUUUACUGGACCACAACUGACGCUGAGACACGAAAGCGUGGGGAGCAAACAGGAUUAGAUACCCUGGUAGUCCACGCUGUAAACGAUGAAUGCUAGGUGUGGGGUACGCAAGUAUUCCGUGCCGCAGCAAACGCAUUAAGCAUUCCACCUGGGGAGUACGUUCGCAAGAAUGAAACUUAAAGGAAUUGACGGGG
rnacentral:rRNA from 1 species